CCUACGGGAGGCAGCAGUGAGGAAUAUUGGUCAAUGGCCGGAAGGCUGAACCAGCCAAGCCGCGUGAAGGACGACGGUGCCAAGCAUUGUAAACUUCUUUUGUCAAGGGAUAAAAUCAGGCUCGAGAGCCUGAUCGUGGGUACUUGAAGAAAAAGCAUCGGCUAACUCCGUGCCAGCAGCCGCGGUAAUACGGAGGAUGCGAGCUUUAUCCGGAUUUAUUGGGUUUAAAGGGAGCGUAGGCGGGAUGUUAAGUCAGCGGGUAAAUGCCCGGGCUCAACCCCGGCCGAGCGGGGGAAACUGGCUGUCUUGAGAUGGCGAAAGGUAUGCGGAAUGCGCGGUGUAGCGGUGAAAUGCUUAGAUAUUGCGAAGAACUCCGAUUGCGAAGGCAGCAUACCGGAGGCGAUCUGACGCUGAGGCACGAAGGCGUGGGUAUCGAACAGGAUUAGAUACCCGAGUAGUC
rnacentral:rRNA from 1 species